CCUGCUAACCCCAGCUAGCAUCCAUGGACCUGAACCACCUACAGCGGGCCGACUGCAUUACAAGAAGUCGAUAACGGGCACUUUCUGAGAGAACAAAGAUGAAGCGACUUCUACAAUGCUUUGCUGGGAAACCCAACACUGUCCUACUAUAUAUAGCGGGGCUUUUCACACUGUGUGCAUGACUACUUGUGUUAAGUCACAUGAUUCAAGAUAUAUGGGUGGAUAGACACGCUCUCACACACACACAGACACACGCACAGACAUACACACACGCACACACACACGGGCUGAUGGCGUGGAGGAGCGUCUCGGCCUCUGUCUCAGCCCAAACCACAUGCUAAUCAGCUCUCCGUGCCGUCCGUUUGAUCUCCACCAGGCGCUUUUCUGAUGCAUCCCGCUGAAUAGAUAAUCACUGUGCAAAUCACUGAUAAAACUCAACUUCGUUGCUGUCGAAUCUAUCUAAAAAUAUAAAUCUAAGAAGGAAAAAACUCACAGCAUAAAUUCAACGUUUUAUAAUUUGUUCCUUUUUUUCCACAUAGACAACAGAUAAAUAGUACAAAUGCUUACAUUUGGUUAUAAUACAAAAAAAAAGAAGAAAAGAAA